UCAGACCACGGAAGUUUUGAAAUUCAACUUGGUCUUGCAAUUUGUGCCCACUGGGCCUGAGGUUGACACCGUGGCCCUCCCUAGAACCCCAUUUUGCUGUCUGCCCCCCUCUUCCAGCCGCCCCUUCCCAGGACCUCACUCUCUCACUACUUCACCACCCCAACUUGUUGCAUUUAGACCAAAGGGGCUGAGUUAAUGCCAGCACUAUGUGCAGCCACUGGGCUGGGUAGACAUUUUCCAGUUGAUUAUCCAAGCAAUCUCAUAGGGUAGGAAUUGAAACUACCCCCAUUUUGCAGAUGAGGAAACAGGAACUUAGAGCUCAGUUGGUGGGGAGCAAGUCAGAGCACGGGGCCUGCGCUCUUAACCACAGAGCUGUGCAGGCACAGGUGGACGUCCAGGCCGAGGACAGCAGAACUUCUGGGACCAGAAGUCAGUGAGGAAUGGCCACAACCUUGGCAGAGACUGAGGUAUUCGGUGACCGCUGCUCGGUAAGACUCUGGUCUUCGUGUGGAGGACGUGGCCCGGCUCCGCUGUGGGAUGACGGGAGGACCUCACGGACCCACGAGCAGAUCCACUGUCCCCACGCCAGCUGUCCUGGAAGCAGGGCUCCCUUCAGGGCCGUCCGCCCCCUCCCCAGAGUAGGGGGAGAGCCCCACAACAAAGGGUGGGGAGCUGCUGGCUCAGUGACGGGGAACGAGAGGAGCACCGGGCGAAUCUGACCUGCUUCCAGCUGAAAGGAUGGUGCAGACAGGGUCGAGUCCACCACAGGGUGGACACGCCACUAAUUAGCAGGCAGGAGCCAGAGCAAGAUCACCUCCAAGGCUGUAUGAGGCCCAACCAAGGACUGAAAGAGACUGUGUCAAGGUUCUCUACGAGCUGGGAAAGAUGCAAGAGAAGAGGAGCAAGAGCGACCGGAAAGCUGGAGAGCAGAGCUGAGCACAGAGCGACGGACAGGCCCAGAGGAAUGGGGCCAGGCUGAAUUUGGCUCAGCUGAGAUGGCCUGUCCCUUGGCAG